GACGAACGCUGGCGGCGUGCCUAACACAUGCAAGUCGAACGGAAAGGCCCUGCUUUUGUGCGGUGCUCGUGUGGCGAACGGGUGAGUAACACGUGAGUAACCUGUACCUGACUUUGGGAUAUCCUCAGGAAACAGGGGCUCUUACCGGAUAGGAUCUAUUGCUGCAUGGUGGGGGUUGGAAAGAUUCGGUGGUUGGGGCUGGACUAGCGGCCUAUCCGCUUGAUGGUGGGGUAGUGGCUUACAAAGGCUAGGACGGGUAGCCGGCCUGCGAGGGUUACCGGCCACAUUGGGACUGAGAGACGGACCAGACGCCAACGGGAGGCAGCAGUGGAGAGUAUUACACAGUGGGCGGGAGCCUGAUGCAGCAACGCCGCGUGCGGGAUGACGGCCUGCGGGUUGUAAACCAAUGUCGCCUGUGACGAGGCGUGAGUGACGGUAAUGGGUAAAGAAGCACCGGCUAACUACGUG
rnacentral:rRNA from 1 species